rnacentral:piRNA from 1 species
UCUGCUGGUCAAAUCAUCUGUCCUCUAUGA